AUUGAACGCUGGCGGCAUGAUUUACACAUGCAAGUCGAACGGUAACAGGCCGCAAGGUGCUGACGAGUGGCGAACGGGUGAGUAAUGCAUCGGAACGUGCCCAGUCGUGGGGGAUAACUACUCGAAAGAGUAGCUAAUACCGCAUACGAUCUAUGGAUGAAAGCGGGGGACCGUAAGGCCUCGCGCGAUUGGAGCGGCCGAUGUCAGAUUAGGUAGUUGGUGGGGUAAAGGCUCACCAAGCCAACGAUCUGUAGCUGGUCUGAGAGGACGACCAGCCACACUGGGACUGAGACACGGCCCAGACUCCUACGGGAGGCAGCAGUGGGGAAUUUUGGACAAUGGGCGCAAGCCUGAUCCAGCAAUGCCGCGUGCAGGAAGAAGGCCUUCGGGUUGUAAACUGCUUUGUACGGAACGAAACGGCUCUGGUUAAUACCCGGGGCUAAUGACGGUACCGUAAGAAUAAGCACCGGCUAACUACGUG
rnacentral:rRNA from 1 species